GUCCGCGGUUCCACCCCUUCCGCAUGGCCCCUCCCACCUCUCGGAGCUUGCACCGCCUCCCCCCGUCCAUCCUGGGGACUGGCCCGCUCACCAGCCUGACGCACGCGCAAGCGGGAGGAGUGAGAAGGCUCUCGCGAGACCAGGAAGUCCCGGCGUUGGAGCUGUCCCGCUGACGGGGCGGGAAGGUGAAAAGCUUUUGUUUCCUGUUUAGGGUAGUUACUUUUGACGUUGCUAUAGUUACCGAAACACCCAGUUACGUAGUUCUCCGCCUCUAAAACUUUAGUUCCAAGGAUUCAACUUUGAUGAUAGAGGUGAUCUGCAGGAGGAACUGGUCCUUUGUCACAGACCCACAAGUUGCAGAGGUUGAAACGGGCAGGAGUUGAAGAAGGUACAGACCUGGCUGCAGCCCCACACCAACAAAAUGAGCUAGCAGAUUAGGUGGUCAUGACAAUGGACAUGAAGUGAGAGGGUGACAUCUGGGCCUCAUCUGUCAUCUGUCCUGUGCUGGCAUUGGGUGAACCUUAUCAAGUUCCAUCCUUGGACACUUUAUAGGAUCAAAUAAGAAAACAUUGUACAGGCAAACAGUGGUCUAAAAAUCUACAGAGACACAAUCUUAGUUGAUAUAUAAAAGUGUAAAUAUUACUAUGAAAUGGAACAAUUCUGCAUUUGUGUUUGAUACCUAUAUUGGUUGCAGUUGACUUCCACGAGUGCACAGUAGUCUACAAUAAUCCCACAGGCUCAGAUAUGGAUUAAGAGAAAGGCCAUAGGCCCAAGGCUUGUAACAGGUUUAGCCUAUUUGGUAUCCUUUGGGCCUCACAGAUUUGGAUAUCCAUUUCUUUCCCCAAGUUUGGGAACACGGACCAAGCUCUCUGAUGGUUCCAGUGACCCUCAUGCUAGGACUGAGAUGAGCAGCAGGGCAAUCAUUCACCUCUCUGCUCUCAUACGGAUAGAAGCCUCUCAUUUCUUUAUGGUGAAACCACUAGUACCAUUGGUGUGGGUGUGUGUGUUCUUCCAGAAAUAUUCUAUGUUUACAAAAGCAACAUUUUUCUUAAGCAUAUUUCUUAAGAAAUAUAAGAAAACAACAGGAUAUUUUGCACAGAAUUUUGUGAUUCAUCUCUACUGUCCUUGAAAUAAAGUAGAAAAAUCUUACGCAUUUGUGCCUCACUUCAUUUUGCAAAUUGAGUAAGAAUGUAAGAAAACAAGUAAUUGAUAGAGAAUAGACACUUCAUGGAAAAUUUAAAGGCCUAAAGAUGGUUUGUAACCAUUCAGCUUUCAUGGUCAGAAGACACUAGGGAGAAUGUAGACCACAAACACAGACAUACACAUGCUUAGAGAAGACAAGGAAAAAUGGUAAACUAAAUCCUUCCACAUCACUUCUACCCUUCAAAAAUGUCUUUAGAGGUAUUAUUUAAGAGAAGAUAUUCCUAAAAGAAGACACACUAUCACUAUCAACCUUAUCUAGAAAAAGUUUUACAAAAAGUAAUCCAAUUUGUCGACCUACCUCCAGACCCUCUGCUUCUCUCUUACCUCAACACUCCCACUCCCAUGUCCUGUGUGGAAGUGAAAGAACUCUGGGAAUGAGAGGACAGUGUCAUCUUGGAGUUCAAAAUGCUUAAAAAACAGCAAGAAUACUCACAUUGAACACUGUUAAUCAUUGGCGUACCAUGUGACAAACUCCACCAGAAGGGAAUAAGAGGUGGCUCUUUGCAUCAUUUUCAUUAACUGGUUGUCCCUCCUACAUUCUAAAACCUAAAGCAGCAAAGCAGAAAAGGAAGCAGAGGUGUAGGAUUCCAUAUGAGAGGACUGAGGCAUCUCAACUCACAUACUAUUACCUCAGAGUAAAUUAGAUUUCCUCCAAUGGCUGCAGAGAGACCAUUCUGAGUUCUCUGGAAUAGCAGCAAAAUCAAAAAGGAUGAUGAUUCUAAACAUGGAAAGAGAGAAAAGGCCAGCCAACUUGAAGAGACCAGAAAUAGAAAUGGCCUAACAUCUGACAAAGACUUCAAGCCAAGUCAAGCUACCAGAAUAAUUUACUAUGACUUUCUGACAAUAUUCUCAUUGGGAGGCUAUUAAGAAAGAUAAUAAUGUGGUUUCUGGAGGGAAAGUUCCUGGGCUUGAAUCCCAGUUCCAAGGACACUGAGUAACUUUUCACCUUGGCAAAUGCCUUUCCUUUGCCUCAAUUCCCAUAUUCUGAAAAAAAAAAUGGGUGACAAUGCCUACCUCAUAGGGUUAUAAGUUCUGGAUGAUGUAGUCUGUUAAAAGCUUAGUGCCUUGAACAUGAUGAUCACAAUAAAAUUUUAAUAAAUUUUAAUAUGUCUGUGACCAAGCUCUGGUCAAGAGUAGCUGAACGAUUCCUCUUGUGGGCUUCCAGAGAAGGUUAAUCAUUUCUACAGACAUAGUUGACACUACACAUGGUACCUGUCGUGGAUUUAUCCAUCCCUAGAACUGUCUCACACUUCCCUGGAAUAUAUGGUAAUAAAAGCUUUAUUGUUUAAGCCACCUUUAA